rnacentral:rRNA from 1 species
CUACGGGUGGCAGCAGUGAGGAAUAUUGGUCAAUGGCCGGAAGGCUGAACCAGCCAAGCCGCGUGAAGGACGAAGGUGCCAAGCAUUGUAAACUUCUUUUGUCAAGGGACAAAAUCAGGCUCGAGAGCCUGACCGAGGGUACUUGAAGAAAAAGCAUCGGCUAACUCCGUGCCAGUAGCCGCGGUAAUACGGAGGAUGCGAGCUGUAUCCGGAUUUAUUAGGUUUAAAGGGUGCGUAGGCGGACUGUUAAGUCAGCGGUAAAAGCCCGGGGCUCAACCCCGGCGAGCCGUUGAAAAUGGCUGUCUUGGGAUGUCGAGAGGUAUGCGGAAUGCGCAGUGUAGCGGUGAAAUGCUUAGAUAUUGCGCAGAACUCCGAUUGCGAAGGCAGCAUACCGGCGGCGAUCUGACGCUGAGGCACGAAAGCGUGGGUAUCGAACAGGAUUAGAUACCCGAGUAGUC